rnacentral:lncRNA from 1 species
UUCUUAUACCAGAUUUUAUUACAGUCCGAAAUACAAGCUACAUUUUUACAAAGUAGAAAUUCCUUGUGUGAGUGGAAUAAUUUUUACUUCUGCAUAAGCUGAAUAUGCUGAUUUGUUUUAUGUACAUUUAUUUUAUAGAAAUGUCACAUUUCCUCUUAAGUUAACUGACUUAUUGAGGGGAAGGAGGGCGUCAACAAAAAUCUACAUGCAGAUAGCCCCAGUAGCAUAUGCAGAGAGAAAGGUGCAAAUUUAAGUCAACUACGCAAACUUCAGCAAAAAUGUUUUACAAGCAGAGUGAGUUUUGCUGUUUAUAAAAGAAAGCUGAAUUCCUUUUAAGGGCUUUUGUACAUAUAUGCAUGCUCAUAUUUUAUAUGCAUAUACAGGUUUCACUCUGAAAAAGCCCAGUAUGUUAGAAUCAAUUUACAGAACCAGUUUAAGUUAGUAUCGAUUGACUCAACUAAAAGUAAUCAAUUUACAUACAAUUUUUAGGUACUUCCUAUGUAAAGGUAGGUACAUCUAUACAUGCAUUUGCGCAUGUAUUGAUGUAGCCUAACCUGGCAAUAGCUAAUGCUAUUUUCUAAGGUGUUUUGGUUGACUGAACCUUUACCAUGUCUUAAUAGUUUUUAAAUCAAAUAUACAAGAGUCAGUCUUUAUUAGGAUCUAUGUUAUCACCAUAGGUUGAUAAAAAGACCAGUAACAAAGCUAUAAAGAAGUCCCUAGGUUAACCACCAAGUUAUUAAACACCAUUUGUUUUAA